ensembl:lncRNA
UAGGAUCCCCAGGUGUUCUAUAGGUGUUCUAUAGGAUCCCCAGGUGUUCUAUAGGAUCCCCAGGUGCUCUAUAGGUGCUCUAUAGGAUCCCCAGGUGCUCUAUAGGGUCCCCCAGGUGUCCCCCAGGUGCUCUAUAGGAUCCCCAGGUGUUCUAUAGGGUCCCCCAGGUGCUCUAUAGGAUCCCCCAGGUGUCCCCCAGGUGUUCCAUAGGAUCCCCAGGUGUCCCCAGGUGCUCUAUAGAUGUUCUAUAGGAUCCCCAGGUGCUCUAUAGGAUCCCCAGGUGUUCUGCAGGUGUUCUAUAGGGUCCCCCAGGUGUUCUGUAGGUGUUCUAUAGGAUCCCCAGGUGCUCUAUAGGUGUUCUAUAGGGUCCCCCAGGUGCUCUAUAGGAUCCCCAGGUGCUCUAUAGGGUCCCCCAGGUGUUCUAUAGGAUCCCCAGGUGCUCUAUAGGUGUUCUAUAGGAUCCCCAGGUGCUCUAUAGGGUCCCCCGGGUGUUCCAUAGGUGUUCUAUAGGUGCUCUAUAGAUGUUCUAUAGGGUCCCCCAGGUGUUCUAUAGGGUCCCCCAGGUGUCCCCAGGUGUCCCCAGGUGUUCUAUAGGGUCCCCAGGUGUCCCCAGGUGUCCCCAGGUGUGUUUUUGAUGUCCCCAGGUGUGUUCUGGAUGUCCCCAGGUGUGUUCCAGGUGUGUUUUUGGAGUCCCCAGGUGUGUUUUUGAUGUUCCAGGUGUGUCCAGGUGUAUUUUUGGUGUCCCCAGGUGUAUCCCAGGUGUAUCCCAGGUGAAUCUCAGGUGUGUUUUAGAUGUCCCCAGGUGUCCCCAGGUGUCCCCAGGUGUCCCCAGGUGUGUUUUUGGCUCACCUGGCUGGCCUUUAUCCCCACGCUGGCCGCGAUCACCUCGCAGGCGGCCCCAGGUGUAUCCCAGGUGUGUCUGUGUGUGUCUCAGGUGUAUCCAGGUGUGUUCUAGGUGUCCCCAGGUGUCCCCAGGUGUGUCUCAGGUGUCCCCAGGUGUGUUCUGGGUGUUCCCAGGUGUGUUUUGGGUGUCCCCAGGUGUGUCUGUGUGUGUCCCCAGGUGUCCCCAGGUGUGUUUUUGAUGUCCCCAGGUGUCCCCAGGUGUGUUUUGGGUGUCCCCAGGUGUCCCCAGGUGUCUCACCUGGCUGGCCUUUGUCCCCACGCUGGCCGCGAUCACCUCGCAGGCGGCCCCAGGUGUG